UCGGGAAUAUUGCGCAAUGGAGGAAACUCUGACGCAGUGACGCCGCGUAUAGGAAGAAGGUUUUCGGAUUGUAAACUAUUGUCGUUAGGGAAGAAAAAAGACAGUACCUAAGGAGGAAGCUCCGGCUAACUACGUGCCAGCAGCCGCGGUAAUACGUAGGGAGCGAGCGUUAUCCGGAUUUAUUGGGUGUAAAGGGUGCGUAGACGGGCUAACAAGUUAGUUGUGAAAUCCCUCGGCUUAACUGAGGAACUGCAACUAAAACUGUAAGUCUUGAGUGCAGGAGAGGUAAGUGGAAUUCCUAGUGUAGCGGUGAAAUGCGUAGAUAUUAGGAGGAACACCAGUGGCGAAGGCGACUUACUGGACUGUAACUGACGUUGAGGCACGAAAGUGUGGGGAGCAAACA
rnacentral:rRNA from 1 species